AGAGUUUGAUCCUGGCUCAGGAUGAACGCUAGCGGCAGGCCUAAUACAUGCAAGUCGAACGGGGUGUUGUAGCAAUACAACAUUCAGUGGCGCACGGGUGCGUAACGCGUAUGCAACCUACCUUAAACUGGGGGAUAGCCUUCCGAAAGGGAGAUUAAUACCGCAUAAUACCAUUUGAUGGCAUCUGAAGAUGGUUAAAGAUUUAUUGGUUUAAGAUGGGCAUGCGUGCCAUUAGCUAGUUGGUAAGGUAAUGGCUUACCAAGGCUACGAUGGCUAGGGGUUCUGAGAGGAUGAUCCCCCACACUGGUACUGAGAUACGGACCAGACUCCUACGGGAGGCAGCAGUAGGGAAUAUUGGGCAAUGGACGCAAGUCUGACCCAGCCAUGCCGCGUGCAGGAUGAAGGCCUUCUGGGUUGUAAACUGCUUUUAUCUGGGAAGAAAACACCUAUGCGUAGGAAACUGACGGUACCAGAUGAAUAAGCACCGGCUAACUCCGUGCCAGCAGCCGCGGUAAUACGGAGGGUGCAAGCGUUGUCCGGAUUUAUUGGGUUUAAAGGGUGCGUAGGCGGCCCGUUAAGUCAGUGGUGAAAGCCUCCAGCUCAACUGGAGAACUGCCAUUGAUACUGACGGGCUUGAGUACAGACGAGGUUGGCGGAAUUGAUUGUGUAGCGGUGAAAUGCAUAGAUACAAUCAAGAACUCCGAUUGCGUAGGCAGCUAACUAGGCUGUAACUGACGCUGAGGCACGAAAGCGUGGGGAGCGAACAGGAUUAGAUACCCUGGUAGUCG
rnacentral:rRNA from 1 species